rnacentral:rRNA from 1 species
CCUACGGGAGGCAGCAGUAGGGAAUCUUCGGCAAUGGACGGAAGUCUGACCGAGCAACGCCGCGUGAGUGAAGAAUGUUUUCGGAUCGUAAAGCUCUGUUGUUAGAGAAGAAUGAUGGUGGGAGUGGAAAAUCCACCAUGUGACGGUAACUAACCAGAAAGGGACCGCUAACUACGUGCCAGCAGCCGCGGUAAU